rnacentral:rRNA from 1 species
AGUGAACGCUGGCGGUAGGCCUAACACAUGCAAGUCGAACGGCAGCACAGGAGAGCUUGCUCUCUGGGUGGCGAGUGGCGGACGGGUGAGGAAUACAUCGGAAUCUACUUUUUCGUGGGGGAUAACGUAGGGAAACUUACGCUAAUACCGCAUACGACCUACGGGUGAAAGCAGGGGACCUUCGGGCCUUGCGCGAUUGAAUGAGCCGAUGUCGGAUUAGCUAGUUGGCGGGGUAAAGGCCCACCAAGGCGACGAUCCGUAGCUGGUCUGAGAGGAUGAACAGCCACACCGGAACUGAGACACGGUCCAGAAUCCUACGGGAGGCAGCAGUGGGGAAUAUUGGGCAAUGGGCGCAAUCCUGAUCCAGCCAUACCGCGUGGGUGAAGAAGGCCUUCGGGUUGUAAAGCCCUUUUGUUGGGAAAGAAAUCCAGCUGGCUAAUACCCGGUUGGGAUGACGGUACCCAAAGAAUAAGCACCGGCUAACUUCGUGCCAGCAGCCGCUGUAA